AUUAAUGUGUUAACUCAAUUAACAUUCAGCAAUCAUGCAAUUAUUCCAUUUGAUUUCAAUUAAAAAAAGACUAAUUAAGAACAGGAAAGGGAUUAGGGUUACUUUCACAUGUGACUAUUCAGCUUCUCGAAGACAGACUUAUUUCUCCCUCCCCUCACGGCGGCGCAUCUCUCAAACGCCUCUCCCCUCUUCUCUCAUCUCGUUCUCUCUCUAUCCAUGUUCAAUCUUCUUCUUCUUGAUUUCUUCUAAUCCGAUCUUGUUCCGAAUUUGGAAUGGUGAUGAGAUAGUUAUAAUUAUUGUACCGAUUCGUAUGCAGAGAUUGAUGAGAGUUGCUGCGAUGUGAUGAUGAAGCCUGUAGUGAAGAUGAAGAUGAUGUGAUAAGGAUCGUUGUGAUGAAUAAUCCGAUGUCGAUUGAAGGCGUGAUGGAUUUGCGUGAUCGAUGAUAACACUGUGAAUCCUUCUUCGUUCAGAUUGCAGGUAUGAACUCUCGAUUCAGAACUCUCUUCCCCUCACUCUCUUAUGUUUCUUUAGCAUUUUCUGUGGAUCUUUGAAAACAUUCUCUCGAUGUUGUUGUUGUUGAUUGCAGAUUCGAAUAUGAUGAUUGAUGAAGCUGUUACGAGCUUGAAGAUGAAGGCAGUUACGAUAUGAUUUAGUAAGGGAUGAUUGUUGACUCAGUGCAGGCUCAGGAGAAGUAGCGGAUUGAAGUUGAUGAUGAAGUGAAGAAGAUUGUUCUGGUUUUUGUUAGAUUUUUGAGAAGUGAGAUCGACUAACUUCUAAGUGUUUUUUGGUGAUUCGUGAAGAGCAACGUCAGCGAGAGCCCGAAGAGAAAAUUCAAUCUGAAGUCGUGAAUAUGGAGGGAUCAAUGAAGCUAUCCAAUUCUGUUAGAGGCUCGGUUUUGAGUGCAAUUAGGGAGGAUUCAAGAUUUGCAAAGAUGCGAGAUUUGUUUGAAGGUGAUGUUUGUGGUUGCAGAAGAUUGAUUAUGGUUGAAUCUGUUUCAGGUUUGUUGAGAAAGAUGAAUGAGGUUCUUGAUGUUGUGAAGAGAUGGAUUGUUCUUGUUGCAGGUUUUUGAUUGAAGAUGAAGAUGAAUGUGAUGAGAUGCGAGAGAGAGAGAGAGAUGGGGAAGGUUCCAGAGAGAGUUUUUGAUCGUGAAGAGAUUCUAGAGCCCGAAGAAGUUUGUUACAUUUCUGUUAUGAGGUGAACGCCUUUUAUUGUGAUACAGAGUUAUGCAGGGUUGUUAAUUCUCUUAACCGGGUUUGAUGCAAGUUUCGGUUUAAUUUGUUGCUGCAGGUUUUUUUUGGAUUGAUUUUAUGGAGAUAACAUUGAAGGUUGGUUUGAGGCAGCAUGUGGUGCAGAGUUUUUUUUUGGCUUCGUGUAACUUGGCCUUUCUUUUUUUCUUUUUUUGUAAUGGACUUUCAUGAGUGGGCUUUGACAAUUGAUUUUUGUAAUGAACAUGGUUCUUUUUUAAUGAAUGGAGACUCUUUUGUGUA